GCUAGACAGCUUGGACAGCUUGCUCUCAUGGACAGCUAUUAUGUAAUUAAACUGCUAUUCUUAUGGCUGUCUGUUCUCAUGACUGAGAUAUUUCUUGUCAGAUGUUCAAUUAAUGAUAUGAGAUAAAGUAGUGCUUUCUCUCGUGCUUUGGCCUUUAUUCUUGUGAAUUUGAAAGGGCUUUGCCACAUCGCAUAACACUUAAGGGUGUGUCUAACAAUUGUCUUCCGUACUUUUUGCAACAUGAGGAUUGCAAUGAAAUCGCCUUUUUAGGAUUUGUGUACGUAUUGCAUGCAGUGCUAUUUGUAUCUGUGUAAGUGUGGAGUGAAAUGGAUUUUUAAUAUAUUUACUUAAGAAAUAAAUACAAGAAAGACACA
rnacentral:lncRNA from 1 species